AAAGAAAGUCCUGGAAUCCAAAAGUUCCUGUCUGGAGCCCUUAUUGGACAGUGUGAACGAGGGCAGUCCAGCGUAUCGGGUUGGGGGUACUGCAGGGAUGGAGGUGGAAACAGUACCGGGUCUUUAGUACUGUAUUGUCUCUGGGAGACAGGAAUCGACCAGGGAAAACAAACUUGACCUAGAACAUUCCAGCCUUAGAUUUGGGGAAGAAGCAGGAGAGUCACACUCAUGAGGAACAUAUUCUAAAACUGCUGAGAUCGAAACCAUUUCUGAUUGCUUUACCAAGGAAGAUUAGGAUUAAGUUUUUGGUGUCAGAAGUAGGAUCUCAAGACAACCCCUGACAAGCCCUAAGCAUUGAAGUGGAAAAGUACCACUAACCCUUUUGAUCUCUUACCCUUCCUGCCUGAACUCUCACAACACUAGCUUCCCAUAAAAAUCAGACCCUCAAAUGAACCAGGAGAACCUGUAACGGCUGAAUUUAGACCUUGUUCUCAUGCAGAACCCUGAGCCGUUAUAUAAGGCUUUGUUGACCCUAAAAAGGACCAAACCAAGUUUAAAGAAAAAUUAAAAAUUCUUCUAGAGGUGUAUGACUCAGGGCUCCCUAUGUAAAUAUCAAUUUAUUCUUAUGAUAGUGGACACAGGGGAUGCUUGAAAAUGUCUAGAAAAAAGUUUGCUGAGAUAAUCUAACUGGAGAUCUUAAGCUCCUAUUGAGCAUGCCUCCAAAGAGGGAAUAUGAAGGCCAGAAAAACAGGCCAACAGUUAUUAUAAGAUAACCCUGAAAUAUUCCCCAUGAGAAUAGACUGAACUAUAAUACAAUCUUAUAAAUAAAAAAAGAAUGAAUCUUCUGCACACUACUGAAUCUACCUACAGGAAGUGUUCAAACAAUACUUUGGCUUUAAAAGCUAAAUGAUGAAUGGCUUUCUCAGCCCAUUUUGUUAAUGGACUGCACACAGAAAUAAGUGACUACUAAGGAAAUGUAAAUUAGAAUGAGAGAUCACUCCCCUAACAGAACUACAAUAUCUAGUAGAACAUUUUGAAAGGAGUAUAGACCAAAAAUGGAACCACUGGGUAAACAAAUUAACAUCCUUAAAAUUACAACAGUUGCAAACACCUCAACCUAACUUUCAGAAACCUACUCCCAAUUUUGUCCCUGUUGAUAGAGAUGCCUUUUGUUACUAUAAGCAGAGGGAGCACUGGGAAAAAAGGAUCCCUUUCUGAAUAAGAGAAAAUUAGAAUAAACCUCACAUCCUUUUGACAAUUCACAACAUUGGCAGGGCUCCGAGGAAUUGUGCAGUAGUGUACUCUCAUGAUUCCUUUAAAUUAACAAGGAAAAAGCAAGCUUAAAAUAAAUGGAGAAAUUUGUACUGUGUUGGCAGAUACUAGAGCAACUCUUUCUACUUUAAAGCCCACCAUGAUACUUUCUUGAAUGACUUCCUUGAGUAAUGAAAAUAUCUCAUUUAGAGAGUUUCCAAUCAAGUUCAAAGUGUCCCUUUAUCAGAGCCCAGAACUGUUAUCCUUAGUCCUUUUUCCAAAAAUUAUGCCUUCCUAUUAUUUGAUACUACCCCUAUAAAUCUAUCAGACAGAGAUCUGUUCUCCAAACUUGCGGGUGAAGUAAAUUUUUCCUCAGAAGAAAUAACUCCAAAUAUUCAUUAUUAUAAUAGUAAUGAUAAUUCCAGAUCCAUUCACACUGAAACAUUAUGUGUCCCCCAGGGACAAACUGAUUACCCUGAAGAAACCAAUAACCUCCAUGGAAUCUUACAUGCCAUAGAUCUGUCUGGAAUUCCUGAUACUUUAUGAGCAUCUUUUCUCACAGAUGUAGGAAAAAUUUUAAAUGUUGAGACCACUGAAAUACAAAUUGACCCUUUCAAGCCAUUUCCUAAAUUACAUCAGUGUCCUCUAAAACCUGAAGCAAUACUAUGACUCAUUCCAAUAAUAGAAGACCUAAUACACUGAAGAUUAAUUAUCCAUACAGUAGUCCUUGUAACACUUCUAUCUUACCUGUCAAAAAACCCCAUGAAGAGGGAUGGAAAUUUGUACAGGACCAUAGGGCUAUAAAUAAAGCUGUAAUAUCAAGAUUUCCAGUGUUACCAAAUCCAAACACUUUGCUAGCAAGUAUACUGACUGAAUCUAAGUGGUUCACAA